GAACCAAAUCCAGUGAAGAUCAAAAACAAGAACACUAAUUGUUUACUGGAUGAAAUGGCUCUGAGGAACGACUUGGUCCUCGUGGGUAAAGAGGACAAAGAGGAUCCACAGAAAGCUUUCAUCAAGGAACUGGAAAAAGAACAGAUUAAAGUCGAGAGACAGCAGCAUGGUAAAAUCAUCCUUUAUGGCCUGAAAGCUCCAGAUGAAGUUUUGCAGAAUGCUCUGGGCAAAGUGUCCAAUGAAAUCACCAGGGCAACCAGG